ACCCUAAUUCCAUACCCUGCCCCACGUGAAUGUGCAUGCCCCACCAGUUCCCUACAGAAAAAUGCACGGGCAUAUACACCCCUGAUGCCCUUUCCCCAACCUGUCCCUGCAGAAGGUGGUAGUGGAAAUGAACCGCUUGGGCAUGAUGGUAGAUUUGUCCCACGUCUCAGACACUGUGGCUCGGCGAGCCUUGGAAGUGUCACGGGCACCUGUGAUCUUCUCCCACUCUGCUGCCCGAGGUGUGUGCAAGAAUGCCAGGAACGUUCCUGAUGAUAUCUUACAGCUUCUGAAGAAAAUGGUGGCAUCGUCAUGGUGACUUUGUCAGUAGGAGUGCUGCAAUGCAACCUGUUAGCCAACGUGUCCACUGUGGCAGGUAAGCCCUUCCUAGGCUCUCCGAAUAGCUCUGAUUUGUACCUGAAGCCUUGGGGGGAGGGUCUCAGUACAGCCCCAGUGGUCUGACCCGUUCUUGGCUGUAGGCACAGCUCCUAAAAAUUCAAUGAUGGAUGGUAUAAAGCAUCUUGGUGCCAUGUGGAACGGACAACGCAGAGUUGGUAACAACAAUACUCAUGGGUAUAAGGGAGGCAGUCAGAUAUACAGCCCAGGUGCCAACCAUCUGUGCCUCUGCAGGGGCUCCCAAAGCUCCCUGCCCCCACCUCUGACCAAGGGACUGGGCAGCCCCGUAAGUCUCUGUGGUCUUUGUCAGUUGCCUUCUUUGUUCCUCGCUCAUCCUCCACACCCAUGGAAAGGAGCCCCCAUGGUUCUCAAGGAGACUGGAGGCAGGGUGAUUCUGGAUGAGAAAUGGCCCAAAUGAGGUCCACUCCAAAUCUAAAUUCCAGUCUAGAGUCAACUGGGAUCAGCCUCCUCAAGUUGGCACACUGGGUGCCAGGCCAUGAAGGAACUGGCCUGCGUGGCCUACAGGCUGCAAGAAGGGGAAUCAGUAGAGUGUAGUCCCUACCCCACCCCUGCUCUGUAAGCCCCACACUGCUGACUCUCCAUCCCCCAGAUCACUUUGACUACAUCAGGGCAGUCAUUGGAUCCAAGUUCAUUGGGAUUGGCGGAGAUUAUGAUGGGGUCGGGCGGUAAGUGCUUCUCCAUGGCUUGUCUGGGCCUAGCUGUGCCACAGUAGGGCCUUGAUAGUCUCCAUGCCCACCACACCAUGGUCCUCAUAGCCUUUAGGCAUGCCUUGAAUCUCCCCACACCCAUCAUCCGUUUCCUUCUGUUUGUCUGUGACUCCUUGGCCCCACUCUGGGUCAUCAUCUGCCCAGUAGCUACACCCACCCUUAGUGCCAGCAGACCCAUUACUUCUUUUUUUUAAGUUUUAUUUAUUUAAGCAAUCUUUACGCGCAACUUGGGGGUUCAGCUCACAAUCCCGAGAUCAAGAGUCACAUGCUUUUCCGACCAAGCCAGCCAGGGUGCCCCUGACCCACUGCUUCUGAGCAUACUCUUAGCAAGGUCUGGUGUGAACUGACCAUUUCCUCUGCCUGCAGCUGGGUCUGUACCUGCAGGACAUCAACCCAGUUCUUAAAAAGCUUUUCUUUUUUUUCUAUAAAUGGAGGAAAACUUUGUAUUCGGUGAAAGUCAUAGGUCUUUUUUUUUUUUUUCUAAGUAGGCUCCAUGCCCAAUGUGGAGCCCAAAAUGGGGCUUGAACUCAUGACCCUGAGAUCAAGACCUGAACUGAGAUCAAGAGUGGGAUGCUUAACUGACCGA